rnacentral:misc_RNA from 1 species
UCCCUGUUGCCAGGGCAGUCUGAUUAGAAAAAUUCAACUAAUCACAAGGGUUGCGCUCGUUAAUGGACUUAACCAAACAUCUCACGACACGAGCUGACGACGGCCAUGCAACACCUGUCACUUGGUUCAAAAAUGCACUCUCUCCUUUCGGAGAGAUUCCAAGGAUGUCAAACCUGGGUAAGGUUCUUCGCUUACCAUCGAAUUAAACAACACGCUCCACCGCUUGUGCGGGUCCCCGUCAAUUCCUUUAUGUUUUAGUCUUGCGACCGUACUCCACAGGCGGGAUGCUUAACGCGUUAGCUUCGCUACUAGAGGGGUCGAUACCUCUAACAGCUAGCAUCCAUAGUUUACAGCGUGGACUAC